rnacentral:rRNA from 1 species
UACGUAGGGUGCGAGCGUUGUCCGGAAUUAUUGGGCGUAAAGAGCUUGUAGGCGGUUUGUCGCGUCUGCUGUGAAAAUCCGGGGCUCAACCCUGGACUUGCAGUGGGUACGGGCAGACUAGAGUGUGGUAGGGGAGACUGGAAUUCCUGGUGUAGCGGUGAAAUGCGCAGAUAUCAGGAGGAACACCGAUGGCGAAGGCAGGUCUCUGGGCCGAUACUGACGCUGAGGAGCGAAAAGCGUGGGGGAGCGAACAGG